AAGAAAAUAGCGGUAACAGAAUCUUAGCUAAUGCUGUUAAUAGAGGAAGGGAAAAUUGGCUUGUACUGCAACAACAGCAGGUAAAGCUGUAAGUAAGGAGGGUCACAGCAGAGAAAUCACACCCUGUGGCAGAGGGAGUAUGAGUUAAGCUGGUCCAUUGGAAAUCCAUAGUAAUUCACUUCUCCUAUUUGUCUUGAGUUUGGACCACCAGCAACAGAUAUUUUCAAAUAGGUACUCAAUAUCACCAAGCAGUUCUUGCAAAUGCCCUGGCUGUGUGUUCCCAGUUCCCAAGGUUGUCCUAACCCGGUGCUUGCAGGAGCAUUUGUGUGAGCACAGAGUCAGACAGAAGCUGACUGGGAUGGUGGUGCAAGGAGAGGAAGACAGGUCAUUGCCUUCAUCCACACUGGACCUGAACGCUACUGGAGGCACAGGGUAGGUGUCCUUCACAUGGCUGGCACUGGGAGGAUGGCAGGACUAUCUGAUUUGUCACAGCCAUUUAAACGGCCUGAGAAAGUUUGUCAGGCCCAAAUAUUUUACUUAUUCACACAAUAUGUUCCCCUGGAGAUGGCCAUGAACCCUGCUGUAAUGGUUAAUCACCUGUGGGGAAAGAUGCCCUACCCAUUCUGCCAAGCAUGCUGGCUUUGCUGGAACACUUUGGACAAUGCACAUCUCUGAAGCAGACACACUUAUCCUAAACUCAUGCUGGCUCUACACCAUCCAUCACUCCUUUGUUUUCAGCUCUUGAUUUACACUGGAAGGGGUGGGAUUAGCUGCAGGCCCAGAGCAGCACCAAAAUUUGCAGUUCUCUAUGGCAGGGGGUAGGGGUGACUUGUAAAAUUCCUCAAAAUUGCUAAAGAACACAAAAUGCCUUGUCCUCAACAAACUUUCUCCAUAGCAGUGACAUGCGAGGCCCUGUGGUAUUGUUAGGCAUCAAGCUAUAGCACUGACUUUUCUUUAUCUUCAUGGAAUGGUUCAUUAGCAACCUUUAAUGACUGGCUUGUUAAAACUUAGUACGAAGACCAAGUCCUAUUAUCUCUUUAUUGUGACAGUCUUUGAUUUUCAAGGGAUUUGGUUUUUACUACAAAGCAUUUCAGUGGCAUAGCAGUUUAUUUUAUUGUCUUUUACAGACCAGCUGUGUUGGGAAAUCAGAGGUCUGAACCUGCAGCCUCCAGGAGAAAAGGGAUUUCAUAUUAAGUUUGCAUUGACCAGUAACUGAAACAAAGCAAAAAUACAAAUAAUUCAUCUUGCACUUUUGGGAUCAUAAUUCAGUUCUGCAAACACAUUUACCAAAUAAUGGAAUUUGUUUUAUUAUAUACUGGAAAAAAAAAAGUAUUUUAAAACACUUCCGUCCCCUUGAGUUUGUCUUGCCUUAUUUAGAUUUCAGAACAUUCAAGGUGGGGAUUGUAUCUUAUCUAAUGGCUUCAUCUUUUGACUCAUUGCAGUACAAGGCAUCACUGACUUCUGUGGAAGUCUUCACGUAAGCAAAAAUUUGCAGGCUUAGCCCAUCUGUCAGUAGAACUCAUAUUAAGUAACUGUACUGUAUAAUCAUUUUGUGUUAUUAAGUGUUAUUUUAGUCUAAAGCACACAUUAUGAUGUUUCAGGUAUUAAUAAUUAUUUUUUUCAAAUACUGGUUUUGCAAGUAAUAGAGCUCAGUAGUUUUUCUCUCUUAUUUAUUUUGGUCUAGAUCCAAAGGAACAUAGCUGCCUACAUCAAACUCCAAAAUUAUGAAUAUCCAAGCCCCUGUCCAAAUGCCCUUGGCUGUGAAGACAUUCAAGGGCAUUUCCAAAUAAAAAGACCUGACUUGUGGAAAACAGUGGUGGAAAACCCAAGCUAUUGGAUAAGAGCUGCUGAACAGAGCAAACCUUCUGCAGAAUGUUUUCUGCUAUAGGUAGACUGGCAUCCUUGCCUUGCAGGCUGAACUACACUGUGAACCUGAGUUGUAGGGUUGUAACAGAAAACAAAGCCUGUGAACAGAAAGAGAAAUAAACUACCUGGAAAAAGAAAUGGAUGAAUGUGGGGGAAAAGGAACUAGUUUGAAAAUGCAAAGAGACUUCCCUGGUAAUUUGGUGAAGGCUUAUGCCAUGGCUGAUCAGGGAAAUACAGGGACAUUGUACCUUACUUCUGCUGAACAAGUAUGUGUGCAUCCUCCUUACUCUUACUUGUGCCUGUCUUUGACUGGAUGUGCAAUGCCUAAUCCCUAAAGCAGACCCUCUCAGCAUGGGCAGUUUCAUUGUUCCCUCCUCUCUUGCCCAGGCAGCUUCAGCAGUAUUCUCACCCUUUCAGGAUCUGAUAUGCUAAAUGGGUCUGUACCUUUAGGAAAGAAUGACUGACUUUUGGACACUAGAACAGAGGCAGAUUUUGUACUCAUAAAAUUGUUUUCCUUUCUGAGUUUUAAUAAAGUCCCAUAACACAUGUAUUUUUUCUUGUUGGCAGCGUUAUCUUCCAUUGAGCUUUAUCCCCCAGGUCAUUCUUCCAUUGUUUAAUCACAGAAAACAUUUCCCUUUACCCUGAGGUAGGCUCUACUUUACCUGGCAGAUGUUUCUCUGACAGCUGUUAAAAGCCUCCAACACUGGAGAUGCUGCAGUGUAGGAUAGCUACCUAAUUAAAAAAAAAAAAUAAAAA